UGUUCUGUGACUUAGUUGGUUGAAGCGCCGGUCUAGCUAAUACGGAACCGUGAGUUCGAAUCCCACCAGAACGC
rnacentral:tRNA from 1 species